UACGUAGGCAGCGAGCGUUGUUCGGAAUUACUGGGCGUAAAGAGUGUGUAGGUGGUGCUCUAAGUCUGGUGUGAAAUCUCCUGGCUUAACUGGGAGGGUGCGCCGGAAACUGGGGUGCUCGAGUAUGGGAGAGGUAAGCGGAAUUCCUGGUGUAGCGGUGAAAUGCGUAGAUAUCAGGAGGAACACCUGUGGUGUAGACAGCUUACUGGACCAUCACUGACACUGAGACACGAAAGCGUGGGUAGCAAACAGGAUUAGAUACCCUGGUAGUCCACGCCCUAAACGAUGCAUACUUGGUGUGAGCCAUUCAUUUGGUUCGUGCCGGAGCUAACGCGUUAAGUAUGCCGCCUGGGGAGUACGGUCGCAAGGCUGAAACUCAAAG
rnacentral:rRNA from 1 species